CACGCCGUAAACGUUGGGAACUAGAUGUAGGGACCAUUCCACGGUUUCUGUGUCGCAGCUAACGCAUUAAGUUCCCCGCCUGGGGNGCAACGCGAAGAACCUUACCAAGGCUUGACAUUUACGAGAACGCUGCAGAAAUGUAGAACUCUUUGGACACUCGUAAACAGGUGG
rnacentral:rRNA from 1 species